rnacentral:rRNA from 1 species
AUUGAACGCUGGCGGCAGGCCUAACACAUGCAAGUCGAACGAGUGGCGGACGGGUGAGUAAUGUCUGGGAAACUGCCUGAUGGCGGGGGAUAACUACUGGAAACGGUAGCUAAUACCGCAUACCAUCGGAUGUGCCCAGAUGGGAUUAGCUAGUAGGUGGGGUAAAGGCUCACCUAGGCGACGAUCCCUAGCUGGUCUGAGAGGAUGACCAGCCACACUGGAACGGAGACACGGUCCAGACUCCUACGGGAGGCAGCAGUGGGGAAUAUUGCACAAUGGGCGCAAGCCUGAUGCAGCCAUGCCGCGUGUAUGAAGAAGGCCUUCGGGUUGUAAAGUACUGUCAGCGGGGAGGCGUUACCGACAGAAGAAGCACCGGCUAACUCCGUGCCAACAGCCGCGGUAAUAC